rnacentral:rRNA from 1 species
AUUGAACGCUGGCGGCAUGCCUUACACAAGCAAGUCGAACGGUAACAGGUCUUCGGAUGCUGACGAGUGGCGAACGGGUGAGUAAUACAUCGGAACGUGCCUAGUAGUGGGGGAUAACUACUCGAAAGAGUGGCUAAUACCGCAUGAGAUCUACGGAUGAAAGCAGGGGAUCGCAAGGCCUUGUGCUACUAGAGCGGCCGAUGGCGGAUUAGGUAGUUGUUGGGAUAAAAGCUUACCAAGCCGACGAUCUGUAGCUGGUCUGAGAGGACGAUCAGCCACCAUGGGACUGAGAAACUGCCCAGACUCCUACGGGAGGCAGCAGUGGGGAAUUUUGAACAAUGGGCGCAAGCCUGAUCCAGCAAUGCCGCGUGCAGGAUGAAGGCCUUCGGGUUGUAAACUGCUUUUGUACGGAACGAAAAGCCCCGGGUUAAUACCCUGGGGUCAUGACGGUACCGUAAGAAUAAGCACCGGCUAACUACGUGCCAGCCGCCGCAGUAA